rnacentral:rRNA from 1 species
UACGUAGGGUCCGAGCGUUGUCCGGAAUUAUUGGGCGUAAAGGGCUCGUAGGCGGUUUGUCGCGUCGGGAGUGAAAACUCAGGGCUCAACCCUGAGCGUGCUUCCGAUACGGGCAGACUAGAGGUAUGCAGGGGAGAACGGAAUUCCUGGUGUAGCGGUGGAAUGCGCAGAUAUCAGGAGGAACACCGGCGGCGAAGGCGGUUCUCUGGGCAUUACCUGACGCUGAGGAGCGAAAGCAUGGGGAGCGAACAGG